rnacentral:rRNA from 1 species
GACGAACGCUGGCGGCGUGCUUAACACAUGCAAGUCGAACGGAAAGGCCCUGCUUUUGUGGGGUGCUCGAGUGGCGAACGGGUGAGUAACACGUGAGUAACCUGCCCUUGACUUUGGGAUAACUUCAGGAAACUGGGGCUAAUACCGGAUAGGAGCUCCUGCUGCAUGGUGGGGGUUGGAAAGUUUCGGCGGUUGGGGAUGGACUCGCGGCUUAUCAGCUUGUUGGUGGGGUAGUGGCUUACCAAGGCUUUGACGGGUAGCCGGCCUGAGAGGGUGACCGGCCACAUUGGGACUGCGGUACGGCCCAGACUCCUACGGGAGGCAGCAGUGGGGAAUAUUGCACAAUGGGCGGAAGCCUGAUGCAGCAACGCCGCGUGCGGGAUGACGGCCUUCGGGUUGUAAACCGCUUUCGCCUGUGACGAGGCGUGAGUGACGGUAAUGGGUAAAGAAGCACCGGCUAACUACGUG